CAGUGUUACAGCUCUUUUAGAAUUUGUCUAGCAGGUUUUUUGGUUUCCCAGAAAACCUCC
rnacentral:snRNA from 1 species